rnacentral:rRNA from 1 species
GAUGAACGCUGGCGGCGUGCCUAAUACAUGCAAGUCGAGCGAACGGACGAGAAGCUUGCUUCUCUGAUGUUAGCGGCGGACGGGUGAGUAACACGUGGAUAACCUACCUAUAAGACUGGGAUAACUUCGGGAAACCGGAGCUAAUACCGGAUAAUAUUUUGAACCGCAUGGUUCAAAAGUGAAAGACGGUCUUGCUGUCACUUAUAGAUGGAUCCGCGCUGCAUUAGCUAGUUGGUAAGGUAACGGCUUACCAAGGCAACGAUGCAUAGCCGACCUGAGAGGGUGAUCGGCCACACUGGAACUGAGACACGGUCCAGACUCCUACGGGAGGCAGCAGUAGGGAAUCUUCCGCAAUGGGCGAAAGCCUGACGGAGCAACGCCGCGUGAGUGAUGAAGGUCUUCGGAUCGUAAAACUCUGUUAUUAGGGAAGAACAUAUGUGUAAGUAACUGUGCACAUCUUGACGGUACCUAAUCAGAAAGCCACGGCUAACUACGUGCCAGCAGCCGCGGUAAUACGUAGGUGGCAAGCGUUAUCCGGAAUUAUUGGGCGUAAAGCGCGCGUAGGCGGUUUUUUAAGUCUGAUGUGAAAGCCCGCGGCCCAACCGUGGAGGGUCAUUGGAAACUGGAAAACUUGAGUGCAGAAGAGGAAAGUGGAAUUCCAUGUGUAGCGGUGAAAUGCGCAGAGAUAUGGAGGAACACCAGUGGCGAAGGCGACUUUCUGGUCUGUAACUGACGCUGAUGUGCGAAAGCGUGGGGAUCAAACAGGAUUAGAUACCCUGGUAGUCCACGCCGUAAACGAUGAGUGCUAAGUGUUAGGGGGUUUCCGCCCCUUAGUGCUGCAGCUAACGCAUUAAGCACUCCGCCUGGGGAGUACGACCGCAAGGUUGAAACUCAAAGGAAUUGACGGGGACCCGCACAAGCGGUGGAGCAUGUGGUUUAAUUCGAAGCAACGCGAAGAACCUUACCAAAUCUUGACAUCCUUUGACAACUCUAGAGAUAGAGCCUUCCCCUUCGGGGGACAAAGUGACAGGUGGUGCAUGGUUGUCGUCAGCUCGUGUCGUGAGAUGUUGGGUUAAGUCCCGCAACGAGCGCAACCCUUAAGCUUAGUUGCCAUCAUUAAGUUGGGCACUCUAAGUUGACUGCCGGUGACAAACCGGAGGAAGGUGGGGAUGACGUCAAAUCAUCAUGCCCCUUAUGAUUUGGGCUACACACGUGCUACAAUGGACAAUACAAAGGGCAGCGAAACCGCGAGGUCAAGCAAAUCCCAUAAAGUUGUUCUCAGUUCGGAUUGUAGUCUGCAACUCGACUACAUGAAGCUGGAAUCGCUAGUAAUCGUAGAUCAGCAUGCUACGGUGAAUACGUUCCCGGGUCU